rnacentral:rRNA from 1 species
AGUCGAGCGGAAACGAUGGGAGCUUGCUCCCAGGCGUCGAGCGGCGGACGGGUGAGUAAUGCAUAGGAAUCUGCCCGAUAGUGGGGGAUAACCUGGGGAAACCCAGGCUAAUACCGCAUACGUCCUACGGGAGAAAGCAGGGGCUCUUCGGACCUUGCGCUAUCGGAUGAGCCUAUGUCGGAUUAGCUGGUUGGUGAGGUAAUGGCUCACCAAGGCGACGAUCCGUAGCUGGUCUGAGAGGAUGAUCAGCCACAUCGGGACUGAGACACGGCCCGAACUCCUACGGGAGGCAGCAGUGGGGAAUAUUGGACAAUGGGCGAAAGCCUGAUCCAGCCAUGCCGCGUGUGUGAAGAAGGCCCUCGGGUUGUAAAGCACUUUCAGUGGGGAAGAAAGCCUUGGGGCUAAUACCCUCGAGGAAGGACAUCACCCACAGAAGAAGCACCGGCUAACUCCGUGCCAGCAGCCGCGGUAAUACGGAGGGUGCGAGCGUUAAUCGGAAUUACUGGGCGUAAAGCGCGCGUAGGUGGCUUGAUAAGCCGGUUGUGAAAGCCCCGGGCUCAACCUGGGAACGGCAUCCGGAACUGUCAGGCUAGAGUGCAGGAGAGGAAGGUAGAAUUCCCGGUGUAGCGGUGAAAUGCGUAGAGAUCGGGAGGAAUACCAGUGGCGAAGGCGGCCUUCUGGACUGACACUGACACUGAGGUGCGAAAGCGUGGGUAGCAAACAGGAUUAGAUACCCUGGUAGUCCACGCCGUAAACGAUGUCGACUAGCCGUUGGGAGCCUCGAGUUCUUAGUGGCGCAGUUAACGCGAUAAGUCGACCGCCUGGGGAGUACGGCCGCAAGGUUAAAACUCAAAUGAAUUGACGGGGGCCCGCACAAGCGGUGGAGCAUGUGGUUUAAUUCGAUGCAACGCGAAGAACCUUACCUACCCUUGACAUCGUGCGAACUUGGUAGAGAUACCUUGGUGCCUUCGGGAACGCACAGACAGGUGCUGCAUGGCUGUCGUCAGCUCGUGUUGUGAAAUGUUGGGUUAAGUCCCGUAACGAGCGCAACCCUUGUCCCUAUUUGCCAGCGAUUCGGUCGGGAACUCUAGGGAGACUGCCGGUGACAAACCGGAGGAAGGUGGGGACGACGUCAAGUCAUCAUGGCCCUUACGGGUAGGGCUACACACGUGCUACAAUGGUCGGUACAAAGGGUUGCAAAGCGGCGACGUGGAGCUAAUCCCAGAAAGCUGAUCUCAGUCCGGAUCGGAGUCUGCAACUCGACUCCGUGAAGUCGGAAUCGCUAGUAAUCGUGAAUCAGAAUGUCACGGUGAAUACGUUCCCGGGCCUUGUACACACCGCCCGUCACACCAUGGGAGUGGACUGCACCAGAAGUGGUUAGCCUAACUUCGGAGGGCGAUCACCACGGUGUG